GAAAAAUAUGUUUUGUUUGCCACAUUGUUUGUAACCAUGAACCUCUUCAUGGAUCUUAUAUUGUAGACCACAUGUGCUUAUGCUGACACAUUUUGACAAAGUGUACAGUGUUUCCAAUGGAAACAAUGUGAAUUUUAAUAUUCCAUCGAUUAAAUCAACGUGUGGUGUAUGUAGCCACAUGAUUUGUGCAGGACCUACUAACUGUGGAUAUAAUGCCUUUCUGUGACCACUAAAUGUGACCACUGGAGAUUAUCCAAUGAAGAGGAAAGCUGUCAGAGGGCACGCAUGCAAAUCCAGUGACGUGCAGUUUGACUGCAGGGUUAAGAAGAGAGAUGCAGUGGGGAUACAUCAGAACAACAAGAACUGCAAGAUGUAUGGGGGCUUCACAGGAAAGAGAAACAGUGAAAAAGAUUGCAAUUGAUUAUGA